GCCGGUGUGGUGGAACGGUAGACACGCAGGUCUCAAAAACCUGUGAGCGCAAGCUCAUGUCGGUUCGACUCCGACCACCGGCA
rnacentral:tRNA from 1 species